rnacentral:lncRNA from 1 species
GGCUGUGUUUUUACUUUUUGAACUGUAUUAUUUGUAACGUUUGAGGCUGUUUUUACAACAGGGAAAUUAUUGUAUCAAGGGUUUCAGAUGGUAAAGUUUAAGUUGUCCCUUCAAAAUUUUUUGUAUUUGUUUGGCUUUACAACUUUUUUUAUAUGAGCGUCACUGAUUAGUCUUAUAUGUAGACGAAACGUGCGUCUGGCGUACUAAGUUAUAAUUCUGGUACCCUUGACAACUAUUAUACGGGAGCUAUCAUG